UAGCUCAGUUGGUAAAGAAUCUGCCUGCCAUGCAGAAGACCUGGGUUCAAUUCCUGG
rfam:TPA: Bos taurus chromosome 13, whole genome shotgun sequence.